rfam:Triticum aestivum genome assembly, contig: Triticum_aestivum_CS42_TGACv1_scaffold_320443_4BL
AUAGUACUCCCUCCGUCCGAAAAUACUUGUCGGAGAAAUGGAUGUAUCUAGACGUAUUUUAGUUCUAGAUACAUAUAUUUUUAGCAUUUCUCCGACAAGUAUUUUCGGACGGAGGGAGUAUUCA